rnacentral:rRNA from 1 species
AAUGAACGCUGGCGGCGUGCCUAAUACAUGCAAGUCGAGCGAACGGACGAGAAGCUUGCUUCUCUGAUGUUAGCGGCGGACGGGUGAGUAACACGUGGAUAACCUACCUAUAAGACUGGGAUAACUUCGGGAAACCGGAGCUAAUACCGGAUAAUAUUUUGAACCGCAUGGUUCAAAAGUGAAAGACGGUCUUGCUGUCACUUAUAGAUGGAUCCGCGCUGCAUUAGCUAGUUGGUAAGGUAACGGCUUACCAAGGCAACGAUGCAUAGCCGACCUGAGAGGGUGAUCGGCCACACUGGAACUGAGACACGGUCCAGACUCCUACGGGAGGCAGCAGUAGGGAAUCUUCCGCAAUGGGCGAAAGCCUGACGGAGCAACGCCGCGUGAGUGAUGAAGGUCUUCGAAUCGUAAAACUCUGUUAUUAGGGAAGAACAUAUGUGUAAGUAACUGUGCACAUCUUGACGGUACCUAAUCAGAAAGCCACGGCUAACUACGUGCCAGCAGCCGCGGUAAUACGUAGGUGGCAAGCGUUAUCCGGAAUUAUUGGGCGUAAAGCGCGCGUAGGCGGUUUUUUAAGUCUGAUGUGAAAGCCCACGGCUCAACCGUGGAGGGUCAUUGGAAACUGGAAAACUUGAGUGCAGAAGAGGAAAGUGGAAUUCCAUGUGUAGCGGUGAAAUGCGCAGAGAUAUGGAGGAACACCAGUGGCGAAGGCGACUUUCUGGUCUGUAACUGACGCUGAUGUGCGAAAGCGUGGGGAUCAAACAGGAUUAGAUACCCUGGUAGUCCACGCCGUAAACGAUGAGUGCUAAGUGUUAGGGGGUUUCCGCCCCUUAGUGCUGCAGCUAACGCAUUAAGCACUCCGCCUGGGGAGUACGACCGCAAGGUUGAAACUCAAAGGAAUUGACGGGGACCCGCACAAGCGGUGGAGCAUGUGGUUUAAUUCGAAGCAACGCGAAGAACCUUACCAAAUCUUGACAUCCUUUGACAACUCUAGAGAUAGAGCCUUCCCCUUCGGGGGACAAAGUGACAGGUGGUGCAUGGUUGUCGUCAGCUCGUGUCGUGAGAUGUUGGGUUAAGUCCCGCAACGAGCGCAACCCUUAAGCUUAGUUGCCAUCAUUAAGUUGGGCACUCUAAGUUGACUGCCGGUGACAAACCGGAGGAAGGUGGGGAUGACGUCAAAUCAUCAUGCCCCUUAUGAUUUGGGCUACACACGUGCUACAAUGGACAAUACAAAGGGCAGCGAAACCGCGAGGUCAAGCAAAUCCCAUAAAGUUGUUCUCAGUUCGGAUUGUAGUCUGCAACUCGACUACAUGAAGCUGGAAUCGCUAGUAAUCGUAGAUCAGCAUGCUACGGUGAAUACGUUCCCGGGUCU